UAAAGCGUGCGCAGGCGGUUUUGUAAGUCUGACGUGAAAUCCCGGGCUCAACCUGGGAAUUGCGUUGGAGACUGCAAGGCUGGAGUCUGGCAGAGGGGGGUAGAAUUCCACGUGUAGCAGUGAAAUGCGUAGAGAUGUGGAGGAACACCGAUGGCGAAGGCAGCCCCCUGGGUCAAGACUGACGCUCAUGCACGAAAGCGUGGGGAGCAAACAGGAUUAGAUACCCCGGU
rnacentral:rRNA from 1 species